rnacentral:rRNA from 1 species
UACGUAGGGUGCAAGCGUUGUCCGGAAUUAUUGGGCGUAAAGAGCUCGUAGGCGGUUUGUCGCGUCUGCUGUGAAAUCCCGAGGCUCAACCUCGGGUCUGCAGUCGAUACGAGCAAACUAGAGUGUUGCAGGGGAGACUGGAAUUCCUGGUGUAGCGGUGAAAUGCGCAGAUAUCUGGAGGAAUACCGGUGGCGAAGGCGGCAUCCUGGACCGAGAUUGACGCUGAGGAGCGAAAGCUAGGGGGAGCAAACGGGG